rnacentral:rRNA from 1 species
GAUCCUGGCUCAGGACGAACGCUGGCGGCGCGCCUAACACAUGCAAGUCGAACGAGAGAUGAGGAGCUUGCUCUUCAAAUCGAGUGGCGAACGGGUGAGUAACGCGUGAGGAACCUGCCUCAAAGAGGUGGGACAACAGUUGGAAACGACUGCUAAUACCGCAUAAGCCCACGGCUCGGCAUCGAGCAGAAGGGAAAAGGAGUGAUCCGCUUUGAGAUGGCCUCGCGUCCGA